rnacentral:rRNA from 1 species
GACGAACGCUGGCGGCGUGCCUAAUACAUGCAAGUUGAGCGCUGAAGGUUGGUACUUGUACCAACUGGAUGAGCAGCGAACGGGUGAGUAACGCGUGGGGAAUCUGCCUUUGAGCGGGGGACAACAUUUGGAAACGAAUGCUAAUACCGCAUAAAAACUUUAAACACAAGUUUUAAGUUUGAAAGAUGCAAUUGCAUCACUCAAAGAUGAUCCCGCGUUGUAUUAGCUAGUUGGUGAGGUAAAGGCUCACCAAGGCGAUGAGACAUAGCCGACCUGAGAGGGUGAUCGGCCACAGUGGGACUGAGACACGGCCCAAACUCCUACGGGAGGCCGCAGUAGGGAAUCUUCGGCAAUGGACGAAAGUCUGACCGAGCAACGCCGCGUGAGUGAAGAAGGUUUUCGGAUCGUAAAACUCUGUUGGUAGAGAAGAACGUUGGCGAGAGUGGAAAGCUCAUCAAGUGACGGUAACUACCCAGAAAGGGACGGCUAACUACGUG